UCCCUCCCUGCCCUGCCUCCCUGCCCUGCCUCCCUCCCAGCGCCAAGCUGGGGAGCAGAACAGCCCGGCGAGCGGCUCCGUGACCCGAAGCGAUCUGCCGUGUGCUUCCCCUGCGCCGGAGCCAAGGGCGAGGAAGCAGCCACAGCCCACGGGGCUGCUCUUGGGAUGGAGCCGAGCAUCCGCUGGGAAGGAGCCCCUGAGCACGGCACGGAUGGGUGAGGAUGCCAGUUGCCACCCUGCCACGUGUGUAAAGACUCUGCAGAAGUUUUGAAGCAAGGACUUCUGGGGAAGCCUGAGGUGGCUACGGAUACAACCACUGCCAGGUCUGCUGCGGCCAGACAGCUGGCCAUGAGGGCAGGGACAAGCCACCGGGGGGAGAGGAGCAGAAAGAUGGGAACCAUCUGUGACCCACCUCCCAUUUUCUAGCCCCAGAUGGUGAACUAGCUUCAGGCAUGUGGGGCUGUGCAAGAUUCUGCUCUUUGAGGAAUUAGGAUGAGGUAGGGGAUGUGGAGGGAAGCCAUCAGCCCUGGGAGAUAAGGAUGCUGAAGCUAUCAGGUUGCCAGCAGCGCCCAAGUGCACAAUGGUUUCCAGGUUUCCAGGAUAAUAUUUGCUCUGGUUUGGUUUGCUUUUCCAGACACUUUCUUUGCAGAUGAGUUCUUUUGGAUUUGUGCUGCCAGUCCCCACAAAUUUCUCCCUCCCUCCCUCCCUCCUUUCUCUGGAAUGAAGCAGGACAAGACCCAGGGCUCCUUUAUUUUCCUGCCCACUCCUCUCUUUAACACCUCCUCACUAAAUCCACUGGAUUUGAUACUUACCUUGUCUCCAGCAGACUGCAAGGGGCAAACCUCUGCUUUCAGCAUACCUGGGAGUCGUUCAGUGACACCACAGGGAUGCAGCUAUUGGUGUUCUCUGCAGUGGAGGCUUGUUGUCUCUUAGAUAUGCCAGGUCAUCAGAACACUUUCUGAUUAUGCCAUUUUUGGUAGAUGGCCCAAAGAAAAAUUGGCUGCUUUCUAGAGUGACAGCUAGAUUGCAGCCUGACAUGAAUGAAAAGCAUAGCAAGAUGGAACAGAUUGUUGCUCCAAGCCUUCUCUGCUGAUGUGUUAACUUUGGCAGCAUCAUUUGGAGAAAAAAGUGAAUUAAUCUUAUUGGAGUUGUGUACAAAAGAGACUGUGGGAAGGAACAGGGGGGGAAAAAAAAGGGAUGUGUGAAUCUAUGUUGAUUAUUUUGAAGCCAUAAACAAGUGGCAUCAGAAAAGAUUUUGACAACCAUAUGGACUUUCAGAAGUGUGAAAUUUUCUGAAAAUGAUGUGCAAUCAUGUAAGGGUUGGCAUAAAAGAAAAGAAGACAAGAUAUGGAUUGAUGAGAUGUACAGACAGAGACUGCAAUCUGUGAUACAGGAGUUAAGAUUCUGGGUACAUGAAAAAAUGUUACCUAGAAAAAAACUUUUAAUAUAAACUAAAUCAAAUUAAAUUAAGUUACAUAAGAGAAUGCUCUCAAAGAUAAUAGAAAUAACAGUCAAUCCUAUUUCUUAUUGCUGGUUUUCAGAACUAGACUCUGGGGAACAGCAGUCUCAGGAUUGAGCAACAGCUUUCCACUGAAAUAAUAAUUGUUUUUCUGGGAAGCUUCACUGGAGAUGCCACAUGCAAUCUGGAUUUUACACAGGGCAAAAACCACAGGUACAAGAGUGCAGGUCCUGCUGAGGGGCUUCAGCUGCUGUGCUGGCUGAUGUCUGGAACUGCCAUGGCAGUGCAAGGUGUUCUCCAAGGUGACACUUUUAUCCCAGAGCUUGGAAGUGCUGAGAGGCAAGUGGGAUGACAAGAAAGCAGAUUAACAAAUUUUGUACAUUUGGUGCAGCACGUUUCCACACAAGCUGUAUGUGCAUGUGGCAGGGACAUCCGCAUGGGCCACGUGAGGGUGUGAGAUGUGACACACACCAGAGGAGGUAAGUGCUGCUCUGCUGCCCUGGGGAAGCAACUCAUCAGAUCUGGGCAAGAGCCACCAUGCUGUCUGAGAUCUUACCUGCUAGGAGAAGAGACACUUGAGAGGUCUGGGCUCUCUCUGGGGACUAAGUUUAAAUGCUGGCACUCUGAGCCUUUUUACAACCUGACUGAUGCCUUUCCUCUAAGUUAUCAUAGUGCACAAUAAUAUGAGACAUAAAUUGCAGCAAAAUACUUUUCAGAUUUGAUUUAUAAAUGGUUCUGAUUUGCUUCUGAUUUCAGCUUCCCCUGUGGCAGCGUUCCAGGUCCAGAUUCAGGUUUGCAUUUCUUGUCUUGUCGCAUCACGAGAGAAUGGGAAAAGCAGAUGGAAGGUGAAAAACUGGGAAUGGAAAACAAACCAGCUAUGCCAUCUUAAAGAAGCAGAAGAAAAGUAGGCUGAACUCUCAGAUGAGAAAAUAUUUUUCUGGGAAAACACACAUCAGGGCAAGAGUUAGUUUUUAUGUAUAAAUAGGGGUGUAUGAUGGGAUUAAAUAGAUAUUAAAUUAAUCUGUUUGCAUAAUUUGAACAUUGAAAAAGUCCAGCAUCUCUGCACUGUAUAUCAUGUACACUAUCCCAUAGUCUGAUACUUUGAGUCCUCUUCCCAUUCUGCAAUAUUUCCAUUAGACCUCAAUCUUUAAGAAGUCAAUACACACCCAAAAAUGUUCAGACACAUCUUAGAUUUUUUGAUAUAUGUCUUCUAAGUAUACCCUUCCUUUCCUUCCUUUUGCCUUUCACCAUACAAUCUUUUGUUGUUUGGUGACAUUAGCACAGUCACCAGUAAAUGUAGUGCCUCAUAAUCUCUUUCCACCACUGAAGGUGGUACUUGGAGUUAGCCCUAAGAGGUUCCAGCAAGGAAGUGCCACUUAAGAGAAUGUGAUGAACUGUAUAGAGGACCUUUAUUUUGCUAUUUGAAAAGAAAACUGAGGAUACUUUAAGAUUCCAUGAUCUGCAUUUUCAGACUUUGGAGUGACAAGCCAAAAGAAAAGCAUAUCAAGACCCCCCCCCCCCCCCCCUCCAUUAUUCUUUAUUUAAUGAGGUAUGGGGUUUAACUGAGGAAUUUAAAUGAUUGACUGAGAAGUAUUUGAAAUUCUUGAGGGUCAUAAGGAUCAAGGCAAAUGGAUCAAUCAAAAAUAAUUACUUUUGACACUGUGACAACAGCUAGCGCUUUCUUUUUUCCCUCAAUCUAUGAAUAUUUUUUCUCUUCUUGAAAUGCUGAAGUAAAGAGUCUUAUUUUCCAACGAACUGCAACAUUAAAUGUCCCCAUAUUUGAAAAAAGCACUUAAAGAGGCUAUAGCUGUUUUAAAAAUUUCUUAAUUCAGGAUCCAUUCAUUCAUUCAUUCAUUAACUGGUCCUUUGACACUUUUUCCUAAUUAAUAGAGUUGUUAUGAGACCAAGCAGCAACAAAUAGACAUUAAGCAUGGAGGGGAAAAAGCACUGAGAAAUAAAUGUUUUACAUUUAAUUACAACCGUCAUGCAGAGAUCAUAUGUGCUGUGCCACAUCUCAAGCAGAAUCAGUGCGUUGUUGUGCCUUUGAAGAAGCAAUCUUCACCAGACCAAUUCUCUUUUUAACACUUUUUCUUUUCUAUUGUCAUAGUGUAGUGUUUGUGUGAAACAAAAUAGUUUAACAGUUUAAUUUUGUUUUAUUCCAGAAAACAGAUAUACUGUUUCCAAACAUACAACCUCGGGGGCUGGGAAUAUGACAGUGCUGGGAGUCCCAACGUGAAAAGCAACUCUGGACAAAAGUGCACAGAGAACAACUCUAGAUGAAAGAUCAGCAGCCAUCCUGUAGUGAAUGGCACAUGCCUCCUGUGUGGCUUCACACAAGACCCCCAGCCAUAGCCAUGCAGUGUUCCAGUCCCAAGGAAAAAUUUGAGAAUAACCUUGUGUCACCAAGCAUAGCUCUAAUAUAGUCCCACUUACUAUGGAGAAACAUAAACAAAACAAUCUUAUUUUAUUAGAUGCCUAUUCCAGCCGACUUCUGUUUAAAGCAGUGCACUUUUUCUGUAGGAAUUGGCUCUGUAUUACAGCCCUGAAAGCUCAGCUUGAAGUCAGCUCUCUUUUCCUGCCUGUUUUCAGCUGCGUCAGAAAAAGCUAAUGGCUGGGUACCAGGCAAACUGCACACUGAUACAAGAGAGUUCAGCUUCCCAAAAUUACUGCCUCUCUGGGGAAUAUUUUAACUCUCUUGAUCUCCAAGGACUACCAUGCCUCAGAGAGGAAUGCAUCAGAGUUGAGGGGGAAAAGAGAAGAAUUAGCUUGGAAAGCAAACAAACUAUCCUGGAAACCAACACUUGUUCACGUGAGUACAUGCUUGCCUACUCCCAUGGCCUGAGCUGGCUUUUGGCUCUACUCUUUGGAGCAGUCUGAACAAAGGUAAACCCUAAGCAGUGAAUCCCACUACACUCAGAGGACUGCAGGUGCCCUGAUCACCACUUUAAAUAAAGAAAUUCCAUGUAGCUCCUUUGAGAAUUUGCCUUGCGUUAGCCAAGUCAGGAUCAGCAAGUUAACUUUUCAGGAUUCCAUUUCUGGGACAUUCUAUUCCCCUGACUUUUGGUCUGCUAUUUUCUUGUUCUUGACAUCUGUAUGAACAUUUUCAACAAUACAGAAUAAAAAAAAUUAAAUUUUAAAGUUGUUUCCCUGAGCUGUAAGGGUGAUCCUGUCAGCCUGCCUUGAUCUAAUGCAUAUAAGGCCCGGGUGACCAUCACAAAUAUGACAACAUUUCAAAAGCCAUGGUCCUGCAGAGCUGAGGUUCUGUGAAGAGCCUGCAGACAGCCAGUCCUGCUCCAUACUUCCCAAAAAAAUUUCAUUCUACUAUCUUGGAUCCCUACUCAAAUGCUGGGCCAUGCUACUGUUAGAAGGAUCAAGAACCAGAGCUGUUAGCACCCAGCAUUAACACUGGGUAGGAAUUCUCUUGGCUCUGCAGUAAGGUUUCCUGCCACCUCACAUGCCCAGUUUUCUCUAUUGCUUUAGCAGAGGAUGGACAGAGCCCGGCAGAGUGGAGCACCAUCACCUCCCAACACCUGUGACUCAGAGGGGGCAACUGUUCCCAUGGGACUGAAACCCCACUUUUUAAUGGCAAGCACAUCUAAUAUCCCCUUCUAGGAGUGUGUGUGGAGAUUCCUCCCUUGGCUGAGGACUCCCCCAAGGCUGAGAAGAAUAGAUUUGCCAGCAGUUGUUAGUAUGGCUGCAGCUUUGCACAGCAGCCUCCCCGCUGCAUGUUUGAAGCUGUAUCUGCCGUGGCUCGCCCACCCCACGGAGCACAGACCUCCCUCCAUGGAGCACAUGCACCAGCAGAUAAUCCAGAUCAGUUUACCUCUGCGUACCUGGCAGCACGCUACUGUGCACUGACCAAAUAUCAGAAGAGUUUGUGGUUAAUUAGGAUCAGAUUAAUCCCUGCUGACUGCCUGUCUCUGUGUAAAAAGGGCACUAGAGGUUAGAAAGUAUUAAGUACCUUAAAUGUCUACUUGCAUAAUGUAAAAAAUUACUGAAGAUCCAGACUUUGUGUUUGAAAGUGUUGAUGUGAAAUAAUUUACCCCUAGAGGCAUUUAAAUGUGCUUCUUAUCCUAUCAAAGCAAAAGAAUCCAUUAAUAAUUUUCCAGGAUAAAAUGUAAUAAAUAUUUGUCCAUGGAAAAUAAUAAACCUGCAGAACAGUGGAGGCAUCUACAAAAAAGUGCCUUAGAGAUUCUGAACAUUAUUUCCAACUCAAAGAACUUAGCCCAGCAUAUAAAGUAUCAUUUUUAUAGAUGCAGUAAAGCUUUUCUAUGAUACAAUUGUGCAUAGUUUUCAAUUUUAUUAGUUCCUAUUUAUCAUAAGAAUACAGCAGGUAAUAAUUAGAUAGUUUCAGAUAUACACCCAUCCUAUGGUAUUCCCCAAGGACCCCAGAGGUCUUCACAGGAAAGACAUAUUUCCAUGUUCUUAUAUGCUCAAAUUACUUAACACAUUUGUGACACUAAAAUGUAGAUUGUAUUUGGUUGGGAUCCUUUGCUAUGUGAUUAUUGGACAUGUCAGAAUAUAGAUAACUUUUGUACUUUUCUCUUUAAAUAAGGAAAGAUCCUGAGAUUGAUUUAAAAACUGAGCUGAUAGGAGGACGAUUUUUAGAGGCAAGACACAUAAAUAAAGGAUCUGUGGGUCUGUGAGAAGUGUCAACUUUACACACAUCUUCACAUAUCCUGAUAGGUCAUUGGGCCUUUUUCUUUCUUAUUUUUUGUUACUGGCACAUUUAUGUAAGUAUUGGGAACACUUACAUAAUAACAGGAUAUUAGCUUAAUUUGAGGUCAUCUGUUCUUGUGACUUACUCCCCAUUUACAGUCAUAAGCUUCUCAUUGUGACAUCACCUUGGUGGCCUCAGCAGUACCUGUGAUGUCACCAAAAGGGAUUAUAACCUGAAGCUGUGAGGGCAAAUCAGCUUCUGGAGAAUAAAGGUUUUUUGUUUUGCCCUGCUAGCAGAAGGACAUGGAAACACCCACCCACCCUUUCUCCCCUGCCUGUCAUGGUGGAACAGGACAUUUCACCACACAGGCUGGGAAUCCGAGAGUGGGGCUGCCAGAGUAAGAGGGUUUGCUUAGUUUCAGUGAACUUGUGUGCAGUGAAGUUCAUGCAGGAAGAAAUAUGUGCAACCUGUGCAAACACACUUUGUGUGUGAAGCACACAGCCAUGCCUCUCUGCCCAGCUUGGGGACACAUCACAAGCUGUGGUGGCCUAUGCAAAGCCAUGUUCUUCCACGUUAUUCACUCCAUAAAUUCCCGUUUCAUCUCAACCGUCUUGCCUACUCAACCACAUCCCUCUUUCUGAAAACCAGAUUUCUUAUAAGAAGUCAGCACUGCAACUUCAUAAACAUCUUUAUGUUUUCAUCUUCUGUUUGGUUCCCUGUCAUUUCAGUCAGACCAGCAGCAGAAACUUCAGCUGGCAAUGUGCUCAUAUGAGGACCUUGUCCUAUGUCAUUUACUUGGCAUCAUUCACUUGGCACUGUAAGAGCCUGUGACAGACAGUUAGACAAGCAUUUGGGGGUAUCAGUUUUUAACUUACUUUGUAUUCCAUAUCAACAGCAAAUGCAUUUAAUUUGUUGGUUUGUGGAGUUGUCUGGGAGGAAAAUAUGCUGCCACAGCACUGCUCCCCACUCCUGCUUUGGCUCGCUGGCAUGUCUUGUCUGAGUGUGAAACUCCACUAGGCCCCAUGCAGGGUACUGACCCUAUCUCAGGAGAAUUUUAAGUCUGCAGAUGCCAAAAGGGUGACAUUUGAGGGCAGAGAUGGCAUCUCACAGACUCGCAAGUGAAAUCUGGACAUGCUGAUGCAUCAGCUCUGAGCCACUGCAGUCAGCUAAGCAGCUGAUCUGUGACAGCAGUGCUCACAGGUCAGCUGUGCACAGACAGGCUCUUAUCAUACAUCCAGAGUCCACAGGGAAGAGACUUUACUACUAAGAUCUUCAUAUAACACUGCAGAAAAUAUAUACACAGUGAGAUUAUCUCUUUGGACCUCAUGCAUCAUUUUCCUGGUGCUCCUUAAGCUGUCUUCCCUAUGACACAUGCAUAGGAUAACUAUUGCAUUACAACAAGGAUGUGCAAAAUCUUCAGUCUUCCCUCAAUCAGAUUUCCUUCCUUUUUUCUUUUUAUUUUUUUUUAAUUCAAAUAAAUUUCAUCAACCUGAAAAAAUAAGUGGCCUUUAGUCUCAUAGUUUCUCAUCCCUUUUUAAUUUUGUCUAUUAAAAAAUGCACUAUGAGAACAGUCACUGUCAGUUAGAAAACUGCUUGAUUUGGGCUCUUACUUAGCCUUCACUUCUGUGUGUGGGAACACCUGUCACCUCACCUGUGUUAUGGCAUUAACCUCAUCCAGUGGAAGUGGAACUCCUGUUUGCUUUGCUUCACACCCCAGAAAAGCACUGUUCUUCCCACAGCAGAAGACAUCACAUAACACUUUAGAAACAUCUACCCCUUGCAAACUUGAACUUCACCCCUGCACUAAUUUCUC